rnacentral:rRNA from 1 species
UACGUAGGGUGCGAGCGUUGUCCGGAAUUAUUGGGCGUAAAGAGCUCGUAGGCGGCCAGUUGCGUCCGCUGUGAAAUCCUGGGGCUUAACCCCGGGCGUGCAGUGGAUACGGGCUGGCUAGAGGCAGGCAGGGGAGACUGGAAUUCCUGGUGUAGCGGUGAAAUGCGCAGAUAACAGGAGGAACACCGAUGGCGAAGGCAGGUCUCUGGGCAUUAACUGACGCUGAGGAGCGAAAGCAUGGGGAGCGAACAGG